rnacentral:rRNA from 1 species
CGGGAAUUUUGCUCAAUGGGGGAAACCCUGAAGCAGCAACGCCGCGUGAGGGAUGAAGGCCUUCGGGUUGUAAACCUCUUUUACCAGGGACGAUGAUGACGGUACCUGAUGAAUAAGUCACGGCUCACUACGUGCCAGCAGCCGCGGUAAUACGUAGGUGACCAGCGUUGUCCGGAUUUACUGGGCGUAAAGAGCGCGCAGGCGGUCGUUCAAGUCGAGUGUGAAAGCCCCCGGCUCAACUGGGGAGGGUCAUUCGAUACUGAUCGACUUGAAGGCAGGAGAGGGAAGCGGAAUUCCCGGUGUAGUGGUGAAAUGCGUAGAUAUUCGGAGGAACACCAGUGGCGAAGGCGACUGACUGGACAAGUAUUGACGCUGAGGUGCGAAAGCGUGGGGAGCAAA